rnacentral:ncRNA from 1 species
AAUGAGUUGUUGUGUCUCUUCUCAUUAUAGAUUUUAUGGGACUUUUUUCUACAAGCAAAUAGGGUCCAUAAGAUUCAUAGUAUUUUACCCACUACAAAUAUUAAAGUGC